UCUGCAAUGUGACCAGUUUUGUGUACUUUAAGACGCAAUUCAGUUCCACUUCGUUUAUAGACACUUUUCAAGCUCCACAAAUGUAAGACGAUCCCGUAAAUUUGUAAAUUUCAAUUUAGUCCACUAUUUGCGACCCCUAUACUGUUUACAUUCAGCCACACAUCAAAACGUUGUGAUGUUUUCCGUUCUACUAUAGAAGACGGCACAGCCAAUCUGGUGCGUAGUAGCCUACACAAGCAAACUCGUUUUUUAAUCAUAAAAAUAGUUUAUGUAAGUAAAUUAUAUUGGAGCUCGAGGAGAAAUGAGUCAUAUAAAAACACCAUACCCCUUUAACACAAGUGACUAUGGGAUUAGCACGUUAAUACAUAAAAAAAGAGAAAGGAAUAUAGCUAAAUACCUAUAUGUGACAGAGCUGGAUUAGUUUAGAUGCAGGUUUGAUGACCAUCCCUUCAAAUCGUGAUUGCACUUAUAUUUGUUUUAACAUCAGUAGGCAUAAUUUGUUUACAGGCAAAGCAGGACAGACAGGACAGCUACAGAUGAACCUAAGGACCCAGACAGCUCGUCACAUCAGUCACCUCGCUAUUGAGAUGGCAAAUCCUAUCUAACUCAGUGCUAGUCACGCCUAGUCUACCACAGCAGGGUCACUGAGGUCAAGGAUCCCUGCUGUGCUCCGGCCACGAUACUCUGCUGCACCCCCAGGAGUCAAACACGCACACAUACACACAUGCCAAGGCACUGACCUUGAGUUUCCAUGGCAACCACUCUGCUCCACAUGAAGCUACACUUAAGUAAACAGGCAUGCAUACACAGUCUUACGCAAUUAAGGUAUGUUUAACACACUGGCCUAUUAACUCCAAUUAUACUAAGUCUGUAAAAGGAAUAAUAUUAAAUGUAGAAAAGGUAGAAAACAGUAAUUUAGCAGAUUCUUCAGGUGAAUUGCUGUAGUCUGCAGGGUCAGUCCCCAUGAAGAAACCUUAUUUAAGUGCCUUUAUCAAGGACUCGAGAUUGAUAGCUGAAGUUACACUCUUUGUGGGGCUUGAACCAACAACCUUCUGAUAAGCAGCCCUCGGCCUUGCCGAUUAACAUUAUUUGUCAACAAAUUUUUAAUAUCUUUCCUUUACUAACUAAAAACAUACAGUCUGGUAGAAACAAGCUUUAUGAGAUCUGCAACACAAUUAAAACUACAUUGCCUUGUCAAACAAUCCCCAUUUUUACUAACAAACUGGUCCAAGUAACUAAACCAGGUUAAUGUUUGAUGACAAAUAGGUCUCAGAAUUCUUCAAAAGAAUAUUUAACAAUCUGUAGCAUCAAACACAUUAGUUAUUUAUUUAUUUAUUUAUUUAUUUUUACAAUUUAGUAUUACCUGCAGAUAUUCACAGUCAGAUGUUGGUAAAUUGUUACUUUGAAUUAAUGUCUCAAUACUCAAUUUUCUAGAUUUUAAAAAGUUGAUGGAAAAAUUUGGAGUGAGUUUAUUGUUGAUCACUUCAUAAGGACAGGAUAACAUUUUUGAUGAUCAAUAAUUAUGGAGCACUAUAAUGCUGUUCAAGUAUUAAAUGAG